GACGAACGCUGGCGGCGUGCUUAAUACAUGCAAGUCGAACGAAGUGGCGAACGGGUGAGUAACGUGUAAUCAAUCUGCCCUUCAGAGGGGGACAACAGUUGGAAUCGACUUCUUAUACCGUAUACUGACGGUGGGGAUUGCGUCUGAUUAGCUAGUUGGCGGGGUAACGGCCCACCAGGGCGAGGAUCAGUAGCCGGUCUGAGAGGAUGAACGGCCACAUUGGGACUGAGAAACGGCCCAGACGCCUACGGGAGGCAGCAGUGGGGAAUCUUCCGCAAUGGACGAAAGUCUGACGGAGCAACGCCGCGUGAGUGAUGACGGCCUUCGGGUUGUAAAGCUCUGUUAAUCGGGACGCGGUACCGGAAUAGAAAGCCACGGCUAACUACGUGCCAGCAGCCGCGGUAAUUC
rnacentral:rRNA from 1 species